UUUUCUUAAAUGAGAAUAAUGUAACCGCUAUAUAUGACCAGCUCUGUAUGAUGUAUUCUAUAUGUCUUUCUGUCCACAUACACUUUUGAUUGAGGAAGUUUCCCAGAGAAGCUAAUGGGAAAUUAGCCUUUGGAUGAAGAUUUUUACAAAGAAUUAUGCAUAGUAAAUAUAGUAAUUCCUAAUUUGUAAAAAUGACUUUCAAAUAAACAAUUUAGCUAUGUGUCUAAGGAGCAACUUCUUUAAUUGCCCUGUGAUAAACAACGAGUGAAACCCACAUCUGGAUCACAGACAGCAGUAAAAUCUGUCAAUAAAACCAAUAUCGCUAUGCCUCACCAGCUCUGCUCACUUGUUGGACGGCUGAAAGCAGAAUUUUAAUGGGGAAUUAUUUGAAAGAUAUUUAGGCUUGCUGGAACACGUCUCGGCUUGUAUGAUAUGAUUUGGUGAUUUUUUUUUUUUUUUUUUUUGAUCCUUCAAAGCUACGCAUUAAGGAGCAGAGCCCAAUCAAAAAUAUUUAGGUGAAAAGUUUCCUCCUUUGAAGAUGGAGGUGUCGGAAAGGAGGACCCAGCCAGGAUUAUCAGAGCUCGGAUCAAAUGUUGAUUGUGCCUGUUUCUUGUGUAAGAACAUUGCGUACUCUGGCCCGGUUUGAUUACCAUCUAAUUAGGCUAAACUUCACUUGAAGUUGGUAAAUACUUUCAUCACGGUAGGGCUCUUGGCUUCCUUAUGAUGUUCAUUAUUAUUAAACAUUUUCUUCCAUUCAAUUUGCUGAACUCUUAAUCUAUUAGGUUAUUUAAACAUCACCCGGAUUUGUAUGGAUGAGAAUUACCACGAUUUUCUACUCAAGGUGGGAGAUUGAACAUCCUUAAAUUAUCUUUCAGGAAGCCACAAUCCAAGAUGAAGACCCAGAGAGGAGUGCGAAUCCUGCCCUUUCCACAGGAGCUUGGUGGGGCUGAAGGUCACAGUGGGCUGGCCUCUCCUUACUGCAGCAGCCAGGCACAUGACUCAGAGUAUCCCUUGGCAUGGCUACAAGGAUUGGUUCAGAAACGGGCACAUGGACCAGUUUCAGCCAAACCCUGACGGCCUCCUCUGAAAUGUUUCGGUUGGAGUUUGCCAUUUUCUUCUGGAGUUGCUACACAGAGAGGCUGGGGCUGGCAGCCAUGGAAGUCACCUUGGAGGGACACAGGCUGAAGAAGGAAGCCAAGCUAGAUCAGAAGAGAGCUCACAUCUUAUACUGAGGAUGUGACAGGCCCCAGGACCUGACGGAACCACGCAAAUGUGGGAAAGAGCAUUUGAAGUGACAGACACCAAGCACCUGCCCCGUUUUUGGAAAGCAGAUUGUAAGUUGGAAAUUGUCUGCACUUUCAAGGAAGGAAAAAUUCGCAGUCUUUCCAGAUUCUCUGGUACCUGCUCCAUCCACGUCUUAGCCUCAGACCUGCUGGCAUGCAGAUCACCUCUUGCAAAGUGACACAGGUGCAGGGGUUCCUGGUGCAACUGUUCUGACCCAACUGAAAGCUGAAAGAGUUAGGGCUCACCCAGAAACUCUCUCCUGGCUCUGCUUCUUCCAUCCAGGACCUUGCUAGGUAACUCCAGAGGAAUUGAGAAAUUGCCAGGGAGUGGAAUCAAUAGCAGGACAAAACCUUCACGUUGGGAAUGCUUUGAAGCUUUCCUCUGCAGCUCAGCAAUGCCCUUCCCUCUCACACGUUGAUGGUGAUGCCAGAGGAGGGGGUGUUGUAAUCAGCCUUCUAACAGCAAGAAGAGAUUAAUACUACCUGCCGUAGGGGAGGCUUCGCAGGGAAUUCGGCAUGACCAGUUCAACAAAGACUUUUUGGAUCAGUCUGUAUGUUUACACAAUCCCUUUUUGUUUUCAUUCCUUAAUCGUACACAACUGCAUACCCAGUUCCCUUUUGGAAAUGUAGAGAAGCAAUCUUCUUUCCUUUCUUUACUGUUAAAAAUGUAUACCUGUAUAAUUUUAAUGUGCUUGUCCUGUAUCUUAUACAAUUUUGCAUGUAUUGCCUCUGAGUUUAGGCAUUCCUAGAAUUCCUGAUACGGGCCAAUUCCUGCCCUGGGCUAUGGGAAAUGUGGUCAAUUCAUAUAGUACAGGGGAGAGAGAAGACAGGCUUUUUCAGGCCCUCCAUAGUUCUGGACUCUGUGACCCCAGGCAACUUACUUAACCUCUCAAGGUGUGUUGCCUUAUCUGUAAAGAAAUCUUUAUUGCCUUUAUAGGGCUUGUAAUGAGAAUUAAGUGAAAUAAGACCUAAAGCCAGCUCCUACUGGCCCAUACCAUGUGCUCGGUAAAUGGUUAUUUUCCAUCCACUCCUUCUAUUUUUAACUCUGACACAUAUUUAUUGUGUAACCUUGAGAGAGCUCUUUCAACACUUAGGCCUAAUAUCAGUCUACAUUUGUCAUUUAUUGCUUCUUUUCCCCCAUUAGCCUGUGCUUUCCCACAAUAAAUUCUAAACACCUUGAGGAUAGAACAAUAUAUUUUAUCUUUUAGGUGUUUUUAUGCCCAGUUACCUAGGAUAUGUUUAUCAUCAAGUAAGUGGUCAGGUCCUUUUUAAAUAGCUUUUCUUCAUUUCAGCUUCAUCAUUUGUCAUGCGGUGCCAAUGAUCAUGUUGCAAGAAGGGAGACCCCUUCCAGGGCCUGGGAAUGGGCUCUUGUCUAACACUUGGAAAUGAAUUGUCCAAGGAGACACACGUGCUGACAAAGCAAGAGACUUUCUUGGGAAGGGAACCCAGGAGAACUGCUCUGCCACAUUUACAGGGAUGGGGUUAUUUCUGGGUUGUCCCUGGCCAAUCUCCUUGCUUGGUCUGUACUUUUUUUUUUUUUUUGAAUUUUUAGGGCCACACUCGGCCUAUGGAAGUUCCCAGGCUAGGAACUGAA